AUGAAUUUUCUCCAUGCUUUUGUAAAAGCUGAAGUGGGGAACCUUUUUUAUCUUCUCUCUUUCGCAGAGCUCUUUUGUUUUUUCAGACUCAUCGCCCAUCACAAGAAUGAAUUCGACGUCGUUGCAUUGCCUGCUCAGGUCAACCAUAAAAGGGUAGAUUUUGCUGCUGUCGAGACUGCGGCUAGCAGCAAAUUCAACCACAACGAGUUUGUUUUUCGCCAAUCUUAGGGCUUCGUCGAAUUCUUCAAUACUGUGGACUUUCUUUACUCUUUCAUCCCUUGGAGCAUUCUUUGUUCCUGGGGCAGCUGUGGCCUUUGUUAUCAAUAACUGGGUUCUGCUAGUUUUCGGUUUUGUUAAAGACUGAGGUUUGGCGAAAAUAGGCGGUGAAAAAAGAGAAUGAGGGGAACGUAGAGGAGUAAAUUUAGGGUUUGCUGAGAGAGACAAAGGGAGUUUUAAAAUGAAAUUUGUAACGACGGCCAUGGAAUGAAGCGCCAAUAUCCACCCACACCCACUCCAAGCUCCAGAGAUCGAGUUGGC
rnacentral:lncRNA from 1 species